GGGUUGUGAGGUUAAGCGACUAAGCGUACACGGUGGAUGCCCUGGCAGUCAGAGGCGAUGAAGGGCGUGCUAAUCUGCGAUAAGCGCCGGUAAGGUGAUAUGAACCGUUAUAACCGGCGAUACCCGAAUGGGGAAACCCAGUGUGAUUCGUCACACUAUCAUUAACUGAAUCCAUAGGUUAAUGAGGCGAACCGGGGGAACUGAAACAUCUAAGUACCCCGAGGAAAAGAAAUCAACCGAGAUUCCCCCAGUAGCGGCGAGCGAACGGGGAGGAGCCCAGAGCCUGAAUCAGCAUGUGUGUUAGUGGAAGCGUCUGGAAAGGCGCGCGAUACAGGGUGACAGCCCCGUACACAAAAGCGCAUGUGCUGUGAGCUCGAUGAGUAGGGCGGGACACGUGGUAUCCUGUCUGAAUAUGGGGGGACCAUCCUCCAAGGCUAAAUACUCCUGACUGACCGAUAGUGAACCAGUACCGUGAGGGAAAGGCGAAAAGAACCCCGGCGAGGGGAGUGAAAAAGAACCUGAAACCGUGUACGUACAAGCAGUGGGAGCNNNNNNNNNNNNNNNNNNNNNNNNNGGGCGUUAAGUUGCAGGGUAUAGACCCGAAACCCGGUGAUCUAGCCAUGGGCAGGUUGAAGGUUGGGUAACACUAACUGGAGGACCGAACCGACUAAUGUUGAAAAAUUAGCGGAUGACCUGUGGCUGGGGGUGAAAGGCCAAUCAAACCGGGAGAUAGCUGGUUCUCCCCGAAAGCUAUUUAGGUAGCGCCUCGUGAAUUCAUCUCCGGGGGUAGAGCACUGUUUCGGCUAGGGGGCCAUCCCGGCUUACCAACCCGAUGCAAACUGCGAAUACCGGAGAAUGUUAUCACGGGAGACACACGGCGGGUGCUAACGUCCGUCGUGAAGAGGGAAACAACCCAGACCGCCAGCUAAGGUCCCAAAGUCAUGGUUAAGUGGGAAACGAUGUGGGAAGGCCCAGACAGCCAGGAUGUUGGCUUAGAAGCAGCCAUCAUUUAAAGAAAGCGUAAUAGCUCACUGGUCGAGUCGGCCUGCGCGGAAGAUGUAACGGGGCUAAACCAUGCACCGAAGCUGCGGCAGCGACACUGUGUGUUGUUGGGUAGGGGAGCGUUCUGUAAGCCUGCGAAGGUGGCCUGUGAGGGUUGCUGGAGGUAUCAGAAGUGCGAAUGCUGACAUAAGUAACGAUAAAGCGGGUGAAAAGCCCGCUCGCCGGAAGACCAAGGGUUCCUGUCCAACGUUAAUCGGGGCAGGGUGAGUCGACCCCUAAGGCGAGGCCGAAAGGCGUAGUCGAUGGGAAACGGGUUAAUAUUCCCGUACUUGGUGUUACUGCGAAGGGGGGACGGAGAAGGCUAUGUUGGCCGGGCGACGGUUGUCCCGGUUUAAGCGUGUAGGUGUGUGUUCCAGGUAAAUCCGGUUCACUUUAACACUGAGGCGUGACGACGAGGCACUACGGUGCUGAAGCAACAAAUGCCCUGCUUCCAGGAAAAGCCUCUAAGCAUCAGGUAACAUCAAAUCGUACCCCAAACCGACACAGGUGGUCAGGUAGAGAAUACCAAGGCGCUUGAGAGAACUCGGGUGAAGGAACUAGGCAAAAUGGUGCCGUAACUUCGGGAGAAGGCACGCUGACACGUAGGUGAAGUGAUUUACUCAUGGAGCUGAAGUCAGUCGAAGAUACCAGCUGGCUGCAACUGUUUAUUAAAAACACAGCACUGUGCAAACACGAAAGUGGACGUAUACGGUGUGACGCCUGCCCGGUGCCGGAAGGUUAAUUGAUGGGGUCAGCGCAAGCGAAGCUCCUGAUCGAAGCCCCGGUAAACGGCGGCCGUAACUAUAACGGUCCUAAGGUAGCGAAAUUCCUUGUCGGGUAAGUUCCGACCUGCACGAAUGGCGUAAUGAUGGCCAGGCUGUCUCCACCCGAGACUCAGUGAAAUUGAACUCGCUGUGAAGAUGCAGUGUACCCGCGGCAAGACGGAAAGACCCCGUGAACCUUUACUAUAGCUUGACACUGAACAUUGAGCCUUGAUGUGUAGGAUAGGUGGGAGGCUUUGAAGUGUGGACGCCAGUCUGCAUGGAGCCGACCUUGAAAUACCACCCUUUAAUGUUUGAUGUUCUAACGUGGACCCGUUACCCGGGUUGCGGACAGUGUCUGGUGGGUAGUUUGACUGGGGCGGUCUCCUCCUAAAGAGUAACGGAGGAGCACGAAGGUUGGCUAAUCCUGGUCGGACAUCAGGAGGUUAGUGCAAUGGCAUAAGCCAGCUUGACUGCGAGCGUGACGGCGCGAGCAGGUGCGAAAGCAGGUCAUAGUGAUCCGGUGGUUCUGAAUGGAAGGGCCAUCGCUCAACGGAUAAAAGGUACUCCGGGGAUAACAGGCUGAUACCGCCCAAGAGUUCAUAUCGACGGCGGUGUUUGGCACCUCGAUGUCGGCUCAUCACAUCCUGGGGCUGAAGUAGGUCCCAAGGGUAUGGCUGUUCGCCAUUUAAAGUGGUACGCGAGCUGGGUUUAGAACGUCGUGAGACAGUUCGGUCCCUAUCUGCCGUGGGCGCUGGAGAACUGAGGGGGGCUGCUCCUAGUACGAGAGGACCGGAGUGGACGCAUCACUGGUGUUCGGGUUGUCAUGCCAAUGGCACUGCCCGGUAGCUAAAUGCGGAAGAGAUAAGUGCUGAAAGCAUCUAAGCACGAAACUUGCCCCGAGAUGAGUUCUCCCUGAGACUUAGAGUCUCCUGAAGGAACGUUGAAGACGACGACGUUGAUAGGCCGGGUGUGUAAGCGCAGCGAUGCGUUGAGCUAACCGGUACUAAUGAACCGUGAGGCUUAACCUUACAACGCCGAAG
rnacentral:rRNA from 1 species